UGCACAGUACCCAAGUUGAAAUAAAUGCAGCACAGUGUCCUAAUGUGAAGGAGGAAAGCACAGGAAGAAAACCUAAACCAGACAUGAUACAGCAGUUGGCAGAGAAAGUUGAAAAGCUGGCAAGUAUUGUUGAAGUAAUGAAACAGUCACUACAAACACAAAAGCCAGAGCAAAACAGUCAAUACAGAAAAAGCAGAGUAAACUAUCAGAGAGAUAAACCAUAUGGAUGUGAACGGUGUGUUGAGUUAAAUCGUCCCGAGUGUCCUCACUGUUUUCACUGCGGUGAAGAAGGACAUAGAGCAGUUGGUUGUAUGAAGAAGACAACGCGUCAGGGAAACUGGAACCGGUCUCUGCCAGGGGACAAACAGUGACCGGGUCCCAUUCGCUGUCCCAAUCUGAAACAAGUAACAGUCACAAACCUGUCAGUGAAAGUGCAUCAACAUGUAACAUUCAAACGAACAACGAUGUGACAUCACACCAAAGACUGAAAAAGUCUGAAGGUUUACGGUCAUUGACAAGAGUUUAUAAGGGCAAAGGUUAUAGAUUAUGGAAAUGUCAGGAGCUAUUCUUUAUUUUUGUCGGGGAGUGUGUGACACACCGAAAUGUGUUGUCACAUUUUGUUAUUGUAUUUGGUUAUUUUGUAUGAAUAUUAUACAAACGUAUCUGUGUUUUGGUUAAAGAAGUUAUUUUGAAGCUGUUCCUGUAUAUGCCACAAGGGGGCAGCACCUCCCCUGCUGAGCGGGCUGUUUAUUGUCUUUACUGCGCUCUGCUUCAGUCUGGCAGAAGCGAGAGAAGAGUGAACAACUACAGUCGACUCAGUGUGUUUUCUUUGUCUUUUACAGGUUAGUAAUUGAAGUUUAAAACACAGAACUUUCACAAUAUGAUGCAGAUUUAAUCCCACUUAAAGUUCUAUUGGUUCUAUAACACUUUGUGGGUCUUAUGUUUGUAAAGAGAGUAAAAACGGUUUUGAGUGCUAGCAUGCUAAGAAAAGUGCCUCGUGCAUGACCGUAACUUUCAGUUUCAAUUCCCUUCUGAUUUUCAGUUGGUUAAAAACGCUCAUGAUACUGUGUAAAAUAAAUAAAUAGGUCAUUCAUUCUGUUUAUGUACAAAAGUAAGAUUGUUGUAUCAGUUAAAUGUUAUUUGCUUAUCUGGUAGCUCUGUUAGUUAAUAUGGGUUUUUCCCAUUGAAAAUCUUGCUAAGAGGCAAAAUGCUAGUUUAGGUAAUUUUACCAUAAUGAGCUUGUAUUUACAUGGAUGUUAAUUCGAACAGUAAAAUUAGAUUUUGUAUUUAGUGAAUUAAUCAGAGUGUCUGAAAUGCACUUAAAGAAGUAACAUAUUUUGUAUGUUUUGGUAUUUAAACAUUUGUUUAAUAAAAGUCUGGCAGAAGCGAGAGAAGAGUGAACAACUACA